rnacentral:lncRNA from 13 species
ACAAAACAGACUUCUGUUGGAAGAAGAUACUAUCUAGCACUUUGUUAGCUAGGGAGAAGUCAGUGCCUGGCUUCAAAACCUCAAAGGAUAGGCCGACUCUCUUCUUAGGGAAUAAUGCAGCUGGUGACAUCAAGGUGAAGCCAAUGCGAAUUGACUAUUCUGAAAAUCCUAAAGGCCUUAAGAAUUAUGCUAAAUCUACUCUACUGUGCUCUAUAAAUGGAACAACAAAGCCUGGAUGACAGCACAUCAGUUUAAAGCAUGGCUUGUUUAUUUAAAGUCCACUAUUGAGACCUAGUGCUCAGAAAAACGGAUUCCUUUUAAAAUAUUACUGCUCAUUGCAAUGUGCUUGGUCACCCAAGAACUUUAAUGAGGUGUAUAAGGAGAUUGAUGUUUUCCUGCCUGAUAAUACAACAUCCAUUCUGCAGCCCAUGAAUUAAGGAGAAAUUUCAACUUUUAAGUCUUAUGAUUUAAGAAAGACAUUUCAUAGGCUAUAGCUGCUAUAGGUAGUGUUCCUCUGAUGGACCUGGGCAAAGUAAAUUGAAAACCUUCUGGAAAGGAUUCCUCAUUCUAGAUUCUAUUAAGAACAUUUGUGUACGGAAUGUAGUAAGUCAUUUAGUUCUUCCAGUGUUAAGGCCAUGAAAAGACUCAUACUGAAGAACCUGAUGAAUGUAAGAAAUGUGGUAAAGGCUUUGGUUGUUCCAGUUCCCUUUGAAAGCAUGAAAUAUCUUAUAUGUGGUUUUUAAAAACCCUAUGAAUGUAGGAAAUUUGUUAAAGCUUUCAGAUGUUCUAGUUUCACUAGAACUCACGAAAAAACUCGCGCUGGAGAAAACCCAACAAAUAUAAGAAAUAUAAAAAUGUAUGCAAUUUCCCCAGUUCCCUUCAAAAACUUAAAAGAACCUAUACUGGGGAGAAAACCUCACAAAUGGACAAAAGUGGUAAAGCAUUUCAUUUUCCCAUUUGCUUUCAGAUGCAUAAAAGAAUUCACAAUGGAGAAAUACCCUGUUAUUUUCAGAAAUGUGAUAAAGCCUUUAGUUUUUUUCAUUUUUCUUGAAAUCAUGGAAGGACUUGGUGGAGAAAAGCCUUAUGAAUGUAAAUAUAUGAAUCUGCUGCCGGUGAAGAAGCUAUGAACAUUGUUGAAAUGACAACAAAGAGCUUGGAAUGUUACAUAACUUAUUUGAUAAUUCAGCGGCAGUGUUUGAGAGAAUUUACCACAAACUUGAAAAAAGUUAUAUGACUGAAAUUCUACCAAACAGCAUCGCACGCUACAGAGAAAUCUUUUGUGAAAGUAAAUCUUCAUUGUUGUCUUAUGAUAAGAAAUUGCCACAGUCACCCCUAACUUCAACAACCACCGCUUGAUCAAUCAGCAGCCACCAAUAUCAAGGCAAGACUCUCUACCGGCAAAAAGAUUAUGACUUGCUGAAGGCUCAGGUGACUAUUUGCAUUUUUCUUAGUAAUAUGGUAUUUUUAAAUUAAGGUGUGGAUAUAUUUUAGACAUAAUGCUGUUGCACAGUAAAUAGACUAGAGUUGUUUUUGUAUGCAUUGAGAAACCCCCAAAUUUUUGUAACUCACUUUAUCAUGCUAUUAACUUUGUUGUGGUGAUCAGAGACCAAACCUACAGUAUCUCAGAAGUAUGCCUGCACUUUUUAUUUUGAACUAAUUAGUUUUCUAUUAUUUUUAUAAAUAUUAACUACUAAUUAUGAGUUGAUUUUGUUUUUGUGAUUUGGCUUCUUGUAUUAAAUGUUUAGUUCAUUUAUUUUCAACUCUUUCUUUUC